GGUUCCAUAGUGUAGUAGUCAUCACGUCUGCUUUACACGCAGAAGGUCCUGGGUUCAAUCCCCAGUGGAACCA
rnacentral:tRNA from 2 species